rnacentral:rRNA from 11 species
AGUUUGGAGUAUGCCACAUUAAAGCCACCCAAUUUCGCCUGAUUUUUGAAGUUAAGGAGGACAAGCCUAGUUAGUAUUUGGAUGACAAUUUACUGAGAAAUAUCAGAGGUCUUCAGGCAG